rnacentral:rRNA from 1 species
UACGGAGGAUCCGAGCGUUAUCCGGAUUUAUUGGGUUUAAAGGGUGCGCAGGCGGGAGAUUAAGUCGGCGGUGAAAUUUUGCAGCUCAACUGUAAAAGUGCCUUCGAAACUGGUUUCCUUGAGUGUAGAUGAAGUAGGCGGAAUUUGUGGUGUAGCGGUGAAAUGCAUAGAUAUCACGAGGAACUCCGAUUGCGCAGGCAGCUUACUAAACUACUACUGACGCUCAGGCACGAAGGCGUGGGGAUCAAACAGGAUUAGAUACCCUGGUA